CCGAGUUUACAACUCCCAAACCCCUGUGAACAUACCACUUGUUGCCUCGGCGGAUCAGCCCGCUCCCGGUAAAACGGGACGGCCCGCCAGAGGACCCCUAAACUCUUGUAUUUCUAUAUGUAAUCUUCUGAGUAAACAAUCAAAUAAAUUA
rnacentral:misc_RNA from 1 species